CAGGCUUAUUUAUAGACCUUGCAUCUUCUCACACUAGCUGCAGCAACAGCCACACUGCCUACCAGGCUGACUAGUAUCUGUUUCAGUCUUAUGCGUGUGGCUUCUUAGUUAGACCAGUGGUUGCCAAGAAGAAGUGAUAGAUGGACGCCGCCGAACCUCGGCAGCAGCAGGAGGAGCAGGAGCCCAAGGCUAGCAUGGAGAAGACGGUGAAGGCCGGCUUCUCCGUGGACGAUGAUUCGUCGUCGGAUGCCGGCGAGCCCGUCCAGAACCAUCGCGGCUGGAAGGCUAUGCCUUAUGUCAUAGGGAAUGAGACAUUCGAGAAGCUCGGGACGAUCGGGACGGUGUCGAACCUGCUGGUGUACCUGACGACCGUGUACCACAUGCAGGGUGUGAGCGCCGCCAUCCUCCUCAACGUGUUCAACGGCACCAGCAACCUGGCCACCGUCGCUGGAGCCUUCAUCAGCGACACCUACCUCGGCCGCUACACCACCCUCGCUGCCGCCACCAUCUGCUCCUUCACCGGCAUGGUCAUCCUCGCCCUCACCGCUGCGCUCCACUCCCUCCACCCUCCCAGCUGCAAUCCCAAAGCAGCAGGUGUGCAAUGCCAGGGGGCCUCGGGCGGCCAGCUAGCCGCGCUGCUCACCGCCUUCUUCUUCCUCAUCAUCGGCGCCGGUGGCAUCCGACCGUGCAACCUGGCGUUCGGGGCAGACCAGUUCAACCCGCGCACCGCCGACGGGCGGCGCGGCAUCGCUAGCUUCUUCAACUGGUACUACUUCACCUUCACCGUGGCCAUGAUGGUGUCUGCCACUGUCAUCAUCUACCUCCAGAGCAACGUCAACUGGGCUCUCGGCCUUGCCGUGCCAGCGGCGCUCAUGGGCCUCUCCUGUGCCGUCUUCUUCAUGGGCACGCGCCUCUACGUCUGCGUCCGCCCCGAGGGCAGCCCCUUCACCAGCUUCGCGCAGGUCCUCGUUGCCGCGGUUCGCAAGCGCCACCUACGGCGACAAGGUGGCACCGGAGCAAACACACUAUUUGACCCGCCGCACAGGAGCAAGGUCGUCUCCAAGCUGGCCUACACCGACCAGUUCACGUGCCUCGACAAGGCAGCCAUGCUUACCCCUGAGGAGGACGCGCUCUGCGCCGACGGGAAGACGCCGACGGACCCGUGGCGGCUGUGCAGUAUGCAGCAGGUGGAGGAGGUGAAGUGCUUAGCGCGGAUCAUCCCAGUGUGGUCGUCGGGGAUCGUCUACUUCGUGGUGGUCACCCAGCUCGGCACCUACGUCGUCCUCCAGGCGGCGCAGACCGACCGCCGUAUCACCGCCAGCAGCAGCUUCCAGAUCCCGCAGGGCUCGUUCGUCGUCUUCGUGAUGCUCGCUCUAACUCUUUGGAUCCCGGUGUACGACCGUCUACUCGUGCCGGUGCUCCGCCGGAUCACCAAGCGCGAGGGUGGCAUCACCCUGCUCCAGCGGAUCGGCAUCGGAAUGGUGCUCUCCGUGGUCACGAUGCUGGUGGCGGCGGCGGUGGAGCGUCGCCGCCGUCGGAUCGGUCCGGGAUCGCCGAUGAUGUCGUGCUUCUGGCUGGUGCCGCAGCAGGUGCUGGCGGGGCUCUCGGAGGCGUUCGCCGCCAUCGGGCAGACCGAGUUCUACUACCGGCAGUUCCCCGAGAACAUGCGAAGCGUCGCUGGGGCGCUCUACUUCCUUGGGUGGGCACUUGCGAGCUACGCCAGUGGGCUCAUGGUGACCAUUCUGCACCGGACCACGGGAUGGCUGGCGCAGGACCUGGACGAGGGCAGGGUGGACCUUUUCUACCUUGUCACCGGCGCCAUCGCAGCGGUCAACCUCGUCUACUUCAUGGCGUGCGCACGGUGGUACAGGUUCAAGAAGUCAGAUGACGACCACACCGGCUCCGGCGCCGGCGACACCGACCUCGACGAGAGCCCGAAGAAAGCGGCGAAUGCAGCGCCGGUUUAGUCAUUUAGUUUAGGGCCUGCCCGUCGCGGCUCAGAGAUGGAUAUGCAUGCAUGCAUGCAUAGUGGUAUAUACUUAUCGGUUGUGGUGAAUCCACCUAUUGUUGUGGUCUAUACAGAUUCGAGAUUAUUAUAAAAAGGUCAGCAGAUCUGAGGAAAUAA